rnacentral:rRNA from 1 species
UACGUAGGUGGCGAGCGUUGUCCGGAUUACUGGGCGUAAAGAGCGCGCAGGCGGUCGUACAAGUCGCGUGUGAAAGCCCCGGCUCAACUGGGAGGGUCACGCGAUACUGUCGACUCGAAGGCAGGAGAGGAAGCGGAAUUCCCGGUGUAGUGGUGAAAUGCGUAGAUAUCAGGAGGAACACCAUGGCGAAGGCAGCACAUCGUGG